GACGAACGCUGGCGGCGUGCCUAAUACAUGCAAGUAGAACGCUGAAGAGAGGAGCUUGCUCUUCUUGGAUGAGUUGCGAACGGGUGAGUAACGCGUAGGUAACCUGCCUGGUAGCGGGGGAUAACUAUUGGAAACGAUAGCUAAUACCGCAUAAAAUGGAUUAUCGCAUGAUAAUCCAUUGAAAGGUGCAAAUGCAUCACUACCAGAUGGACCUGCGUUGUAUUAGCUAGUUGGUGGGGUAACGGCUCACCAAGGCGACGAUACAUAGCCGACCUGAGAGGGUGAUCGGCCACACUGGGACUGAGACACGGCCCAGACUCCUACGGGAGGCAGCAGUAGGGAAUCUUCGGCAAUGGACGGAAGUCUGACCGAGCAACGCCGCGUGAGUGAAGAAGGUUUUCGGAUCGUAAAGCUCUGUUGUAAGAGGAGAACGAGUGUGAGAGGGAAAGUUC
rnacentral:rRNA from 1 species